GCACAUGCUGUGAGCUCGAUGAGUAGGGCGGGACACGUGGUAUCCUGUCUGAAUAUGGGGGGACCAUCCUCCAAGGCUAAAUACUCCUGACUGACCGAUAGUGAACCAGUACCGUGAGGGAAAGGCGAAAAGAACCCCGGCGAGGGGAGUGAAAAAGAACCUGAAACCGUGUACGUACAAGCAGUGGGAGCACGCUUAGGCGUGUGACUGCGUACCUUUUGUAUAAUGGGUCAGCGACUUAUAUUCUGUAGCAAGGUUAACCGAAUAGGGGAGCCGAAGGGAAACCGAGUCUUAACUGGGCGUUAAGUUGCAGGGUAUAGACCCGAAACCCGGUGAUCUAGCCAUGGGCAGGUUGAAGGUUGGGUAACACUAACUGGAGGACCGAACCGACUAAUGUUGAAAAAUUAGCGGAUGACUUGUGGCUGGGGGUGAAAGGCCAAUCAAACCGGGAGAUAGCUGGUUCUCCCCGAAAGCUAUUUAGGUAGCGCCUCGUGAAUUCAUCUCCGGGGGUAGAGCACUGUUUCGGCAAGGGGGUCAUCCCGACUUACCAACCCGAUGCAAACUGCGAAUACCGGAGAAUGUUAUCACGGGAGACACACGGCGGGUGCUAACGUCCGUCGUGAAGAGGGAAACAACCCAGACCGCCAGCUAAGGUCCCAAAGUCAUGGUUAAGUGGGAAACGAUGUGGGAAGGCCCAGACAGCCAGGAUGUUGGCUUAGAAGCAGCCAUCAUUUAAAGAAAGCGUAAUAGCUCACUGGUCGAGUCGGCCUGCGCGGAAGAUGUAACGGGGCUAAACCAUGCACCGAAGCUGCGGCAGCGACGCUGAUGCGUUGUUGGGUAGGGGAGCGUUCUGUAAGCCUGUGAAGGUGUGCUGUGAGGCAUGCUGGAGGUAUCAGAAGUGCGAAUGCUGACAUAAGUAACGAUAAAGCGGGUGAAAAGCCCGCUCGCCGGAAGACCAAGGGUUCCUGUCCAACGUUAAUCGGGGCAGGGUGAGUCGACCCCUAAGGCGAGGCCGAAAGGCGUAGUCGAUGGGAAACAGGUUAAUAUUCCUGUACUUGGUGUUACUGCGAAGGGGGGACGGAGAAGGCUAUGUUGGCCGGGCGACGGUUGUCCCGGUUUAAGCGUGUAGGCUGGUUUUCCAGGCAAAUCCGGAAAAUCAAGGCUGAGGCGUGAUGACGAGGCACUACGGUGCUGAAGCAACAAAUGCCCUGCUUCCAGGAAAAGCCUCUAAGCAUCAGGUAACAUCAAAUCGUACCCCAAACCGACACAGGUGGUCAGGUAGAGAAUACCAAGGCGCUUGAGAGAACUCGGGUGAAGGAACUAGGCAAAAUGGUGCCGUAACUUCGGGAGAAGG
rnacentral:rRNA from 1 species